GGGGCCGAUCUUGGAUUUGACAGCAAGAUGGUUAAGUGUGUAAGCAUGUCGAGCUCUUAGUUGUUCAGCUCGUAAAUCUCGAAUUUCUAAAGUCAGAAAUGACAACAAUUCCUACGCGCUCGCAGCCUAAUCGACUCAGUUGAUUACGCCUAAUUCUAGCCCUUAGAGGGCAGAACGAGCUAUCCCGAUAUUACGUACGGACCCUUCCGCAAUAUCAAUGGGGUAUCAGGUAAAUGGGACUAGUUAAAGGAGCGUUCUUCUCCUGGCACGAAUCUCUAAGGAACUAAGCUUAUGGUUAUGUGUCUUUUCAUUGCCUUAAGUCUAAAACCAUAAAUAGACUAAGCAUGUAGAACCCACCCUUCUCCCUUGUUUGGACGGGGGUUCGACUCCCCCCGGCUCCACAU
rnacentral:tmRNA from 1 species